GACGAAGGUGGCGAGCGUUGUUCGGAAUCACUGGGCAUAAAGCGCACGUAGGCGGCGACGUAAGUUGGGUGUGAAAUCCCUCGGCCCAACCGAGGAACUGCGCCCAGUACUGCGUUGCUUGAGGAUCCAAGGGGUGCAUGGAAUUCCCGGUGGAGCGGUGAAAUGCGUUGAUAUCGGGAGGAACUCCGGCGGCGAAAGCGGUGCACUGGUGGAUUACUGACGCUGAGGUGCGAAAGCUAGGGGAGCAAACGGG
rnacentral:rRNA from 1 species